UGGCGGCGCACAUAAGACAUGCAAGUCGAACGAACUUAACUCAUUCUUUACGAUUGAGAGCGGUUAGUGGCGGACUGGUGAGUAACACGUAAGCAACCUGCCUAUUAGAGGGGAAUAACAGUGAGAAAUCAUUGCUAAUACCGCAUAUGCUCACAGUACCACAUGGUACAGUGAGGAAAGGAGCAAUCCGCUAAUAGAUGGGCUUGCGUCUGAUUAGCUAGUUGGUGGGGUAAUGGCCUACCAAGGCGACGAUCAGUAGCCGGACUGAGAGGUUGAACGGCCACAUUGGGACUGAGAUACGGCCCAGACUCCUACGGGAGGCAGCAGUCGGGAAUAUUGCGCAAUGGAGGAAACUCUGACGCAGUGACGCCGCGUAUAGGAAGAAGGUUUUCGGAUUGUAAACUAUUGUCGUUAGGGAAGAUACAAGACAGUACCUAAGGAGGAAGCCCCGGCUAACUAUGUGCCAGCAGCCGCGGUAAUACAUAGGGGGCAAGCGUUAUCCGGAAUUAUUGGGUGUAAAGGGUGCGUAGACGGAGAUGCAAGUUGGUUGUGAAAUCCCUCGGCUCAACUGAGGAACUGCAACCAAAACUACAUCCCUUGAGUGUCGGAGGGGAAAGUGGAAUUCCUAGUGUAGCGGUGAAAUGCGUAGAUAUUAGGAGGAACACCGGUGGCGAAGGCGACUUUCUGGACGAUAACUGACGUUGAGGCACGAAAGUGUGGGGAGCAAACAGGAUUAGAUACCGUGGUAGUCCACACUGUAAACGAUGGAUACUAGCUGUAGGGUGUAUUAAGCACUCUGUGCCGCCGCAAACGCAUUAAGUAUCCCACCUGGGGAGUACGACCGCAAGGUUGAAACUCAAAGGAAUUGACGGGGGCCCGCACAAGCAGUGGAGUAUGUGGUUUAAUUCGAAGCAACGCGAAGAACCUUACCAGGGCUUGACAUAUACAGGAAUAACUUAGAGACAGGUUAGCUCUUCGGAGCCUGUAUACAGGUGGUGCAUGGUUGUCGUCAGCUCGUGUCGUGAGAUGUUGGGUUAAGUCCCGCAACGAGCGCAACCCCUAUCGUUAGUUGCUAGCAGGUAAUGCUGAGAACUCUAGCGAGACUGCCGGUGAUAAAUCGGAGGAAGGUGGGGAUGACGUCAAAUCAUCAUGCCCUUUAUGUCCUGGGCUACACACGUACUACAAUGGCCGUAACAGAGGGAAGCAAUAUAGUGAUAUGGAGCAAAACCCUAAAAGCGGUCUCAGUUCGGAUUGAAGGCUGAAAUUCGCCUUCAUGAAGCAGGAAUUGCUAGUAAUGGCAGGUCAGCAUACUGCCGUGAAUACGUUCGCCGGGCCUUGUACACACCGCCCGUC
rnacentral:rRNA from 1 species